CCUACGGGAGGCUGCAGUGAGGAAUAUUGGUCAAUGGACGAGAGUCUGAACCAGCCAAGUAGCGUGAAGGAUGACUGCCCUAUGGGUUGUAAACUUCUUUUAUAUGGAAAUAAAAUGUUCCACGUGUGGGAUUUUGUAUGUACCAUAUGAAUAAGGAUCGGCUAACUCCGUGCCAGCAGCCGCGGUAAUACGGAGGAUCCGAGCGUUAUCCGGCUUUAUUGGGUUUAACGGGAGCGUAGGUGGAUUGUUAAGUCAGUUGUGAAAGUUUGCGGCUCAACCGUAAAAUUGCAGUUGAAACUGGCAGUCUUGAGUACAGUAGAGGUGGGCGGAAUGCGUGGUGUAGCGGUGAAAUGCUUAGAUAUCACGAAGAACUCCGAUUGCGAAGGCAGUUCACUGGACUGCAACUGACACUGAGGCUCGAAAGUGUGGGUAUCAAACAGGAUUAGAUACCCCUGUAGUC
rnacentral:rRNA from 1 species